rnacentral:misc_RNA from 1 species
UCACAGUAUCAAGCUUGGCUUGUUGUUGGGCUCUUUGUCACCUGGUGACAGGUCCAAAAGAUAAUGACUGGUGUCAUAGACUCAACAUGCAACGAGCUGAUAACAGCAUGCAUUUAGCAGUCAUAUGGCCCGGUUCUCACCCUUUAUUUCUCAA